UUUAGAACAACCUGUGCACAGAGAUUGCUUGCCUGAACUGAUCAAGGCCUAAAUAAUUCUCAAAGAAAGCCUAGUUCUAAAUCCAGGAUUCUUCCUUUUCACAGUGCAACGUUCUGCUUCACUAUACACUGUUGUACUUUUUGACUUUGUUAUUUGGGGGGUGAAAAAAAAAAAAGCAUACAUCUUCACCAGAAGAAAACAGGUAUUAUCACAGAUAACUUUGUAUUGGUAUAAUUUGUUUUGUAUCAGCUGUUUUUGACAAAGGCUCUGGAAAACCUGUACAACUCCAUCAUAAUUCAGCUGGAGAUAUUUUGAAGACCUACACCUGAUACUGAAAAUCCAUAAAAGGAAGAGAACCUCUUUACUGCUGGCCAUGUUGUAUUAUCCAAACAGUAACUGGAAGUGAAGUUUAAUUUGAUGCUCCUCAAAGAUAAAAUAAAGCAUUUUAAUCAUAUUCUGAAUUUAAAAAAAAAAAAAAAAAGGCACACAUGAGAAUGAGAUAUGUUGUAAUACCUGUUAAAACUAACCUGGAAACAAUUAGCUUAGACAAUUAGAGCUUGCAGAUGUACCAGUUAAUACUUCGUUGUUUAGCUUGUCUUAAUUCUGAAUGCUUAUGAAGAGUCUGUAUGGCUACAACAGAACAGAUCAGGAGCUGCAUUUGUACUCCCCUGUGUGGACAUUUCUCAACUCAAAUCAAUUCAUAAUCAUGCUUUCGUCUUCAGAAACAUUCAGAAUGAAAAACUGUAUGGAGCUAAAAUACUUGCAUAUCAGUGGAGGCAUGUGGCUAACCUUAAUGUUUCCUGAAUUAAUCAGUGAGAAAAAUAAGAUGUGAACUUGCCUCAUGCAGGCUAUGCUAUGGAAACACUUGAUUCUCUGUCACUGCUGACAGUGUCCUGUAAUCUACUGAGAGAAGAAUCAGGACACCUAUUUCCUGAGUAAUUGCACUACUUCUGAAUGCUUACUGCAGGCAGUGCUGUUUGCACUAAAUGGGAAGUCUGGG
rnacentral:lncRNA from 1 species